AUUUCGCUUUUCAAACGCUGUUUUAGUCGCAACCUUCAACUUAAAGUUCAAGCGGCAAGUUCAUGUGACGUCAGAGGAGCCACAGGUGGUUUUUGUUGUUGUUUCCGUCAGAUCCAAUACCAGAGCCAAUUUAUACGCCAUCUGAUUCUUGGCUCUGACUCUAGGCUCAAAGCCGAGAACUCCCCGAGAACCCCCAGAACCAGUUUUAUGGCCAAAACCACCGCCCCCCCCCACCUCGGCAGUUGGCGCGUUUUGUUCGCGUCUUGGCCGCGACUCUUGGCGUCCAUAUCCGUCCAUUAUACUUAUAAAGUUCGAUUCAGUAGCAACCGGAGCGCCAAACGAGGCGGUCAACUUGGCUCAAGCCCCUCACUCGACUCUAUCGCUAUUAUUGGCCAGAUCAAGCGCGAACUCCCCCCCUUUUUGUUUUUUUUUGUUUUUUUCGAGUUUGCGAGUUUUUCACCAAAAAAAUCAAAAGAAAUGACAAUUUAUGGACUGUUAGUGCAGAUCAUAAUUAUUUGUAAUUAAAAGCUAAAGAGUCCCCAUCCCAGAGUCCCCACCAAGCAGCAGAAACAUGGCUCCGCCCCAAGAACAACAGGAGGAUGAUUUUAUCACCAAGAUACCCUCGAUAAUUGGAUUCCUGAACUUGGACUGACGACAAAAAUCUACGAAAAUAUCAUUGAAGAAUGAAGAAUUCAGAGAGCCAAGGCUGAAGCCAUGAAUCAUGAGAAUUAUAGCUGAAAACAACGAUCUUUUUAAUCAAAAAUGAAUAAGAAAUAAAUCAAUCAAUAAAUGAGAAAUGUGAAAAGAA